rnacentral:rRNA from 1 species
GACGAACGCUGGCGGCGUGCUUAACACAUGCAAGUCGAGCGGUAAGGCCCUUUCGGGGGUACACGAGCGGCGAACGGGUGAGUAACACGUGGGUGACCUGCCCUCAGCUCUGGGAUAAGCCUGGGAAACCGGGUCUAACUACCGGAUAUGACUCCAUGACGCAUGUUGUGGGGUGGAAAGCCUUGUGCGGCUGAGGAUGGGCCCGCGGCCUAUCAGCUUGUUGGUGGGGUGAUGGCCUACCAAGGCGACGACGGGUAGCCGGCCUGAGAGGGCGACCGGCCACACUGGGACUGAGACACGGCCCAGACUCCUACGGGAGGCAGCAGUGGGGAAUCUUGCGCAAUGGGCGAAAGCCUGACGCAGCGACGCCGCGUGAGGGAUGACGGCCU